CCUUGUUUUCUUGAUGGGCUUAGGGGCUAGGAGGGCGGGAGGUAUCAGGCAUGGCGUCCUCAUCCCCUUGGUAUAUAUAAAAGCAGAGGGUAAGGGCUCCAGCCAUCGUGGCUUCUGUCCUUAGAAGUUUCCUCUCUACUGGUUCCAUCUUCAGGUUCGGGGACAAGG
rnacentral:snoRNA from 1 species